AAGUAAGGAGUUAAACUUUUUUCCUGCAGCCAAAUAUCCAGGGAUUGGAUGUCCAGGGCAGGCUCUGAGGCUGAGCAACGCCAUCAGCCCCCAGGUCCCCUGGCUGGCGACUCUGUUAUGUGUGCUGUUUGUUCCUCAUGAUCUCAAGAUGGCUGCUGCUAAUCCAGCUGUGAUAUCUGUGCUUCAAGAAGAAAAGAGGGAUGACAUAAAAUCUGUAAAGCGGAGAGAAUCAUCACUGACUUUGAGGUUGUCGUGAGGCUGAGAUGAGCAGACCUAUGCAAAGUCCUCCCAGCAGUACUGGCAUAUGGCAAGCACUCAGUGAGGGUGAGCAAUGACUCCUAUUCAAAUAGAAUUAUGAAUAGAAAUCUCUGAUGACCAGAGAUCCUAAUCAUCUCACUUUAGUCCAAAUAUCAGCUGCAAUACAUCAGCUCAUACACACAAAUGGCAAGAGUAGAUUUAAGCAAAUCAUAACUCCAUGAGUCAUGAUUCCAGUUUAUAAGCAGAGAAGCACAAUUCAAUUUUAUAGGCAGCUGGGCUGCUAAUUAAGAAGAAGCCCUUAAUUAUAGCACCUGACACAGAGCCCUGUCUUGUGCUUGCUUGCCUUACUUUUCCUCACUUCGCCUCCCUAAGUCUAUCCCUCCUCUUUCUCUGCUUAUUAUUUAUUCCCUGUCCCCAUAGAGGGUAUGUCAGUUGUCCAGAGACCUAAAAAGUGAAACUGCUCUCUGGCUCCAGAACUCACACAGCAAAUGUGCACUGGAAAAGCAAAACUCAGAUCCCCAGGGUUCUGACUUCUGAGGAUAAUGAGGGAACCUCAGAGUAGGGGGAGCAAAGAAAAUGGCCCUUGGAAUGUACCCAAGAGAAACGAAAAGUUUCGUUUAUGUGAAAUCUGU
rnacentral:lncRNA from 1 species